rnacentral:rRNA from 1 species
UACGUAGGGUGCAAGCGUUGUCCGGAAUUAUUGGGCGUAAAGAGCGUGUAGGCGGCCAGGUAGGUCUGCUGUGAAAACUCGAGGCUCAACCUCGAGACGCCGGUGGAAACCGUAAGGCUAGAGUCCGGAAGAGGAGAGUGGAAUUCCUGGUGUAGCGGUGAAAUGCGCAGAUAUCAGGAAGAACACCCGUGGCGAAGGCGGCUCUCUGGGACGGUACUGACGCUGAGACGCGAAAGCGUGGGGAGCGAACAGG